rnacentral:rRNA from 1 species
AAUCCAUAGGUUAAUGAGGCGAACCGGGGGAACUGAAACAUCUAAGUACCCCGAGGAAAAGAAAUCAACCGAGAUUCCCCCAGUAGCGGCGAGCGAACGGGGAGGAGCCCAGAGCCUGAAUCAGCAUGUGUGUUAGUGGAAGCGUCUGGAAAGGCGCGCGAUACAGGGUGACAGCCCCGUACACAAAAGCGCAUGUGCUGUGAGCUCGAUGAGUAGGGCGGGACACGUGGUAUCCUGUCUGAAUAUGGGGGGACCAUCCUCCAAGGCUAAAUACUCCUGACUGACCGAUAGUGAACCAGUACCGUGAGGGAAAGGCGAAAAGAACCCCGGCGAGGGGAGUGAAAAAGAACCUGAAACCGUGUACGUACAAGCAGUGGGAGCACCCUUUGGGUGUGACUGCGUACCUUUUGUAUAAUGGGUCAGCGACUUAUAUUCUGUAGCAAGGUUAACCGAAUAGGGGAGCCGGAGGGAAACCGAGUCUUAACCGGGCGUUAAGUUGCAGGGUAUAGACCCGAAACCCGGUGAUCUAGCCAUGGGCAGGUUGAAGGUUGGGUAACACUAACUGGAGGACCGAACCGACUAAUGUUGAAAAAUUAGCGGAUGACCUGUGGCUGGGGGUGAAAGGCCAAUCAAACCGGGAGAUAGCUGGUUCUCCCCGAAAGCUAUUUAGGUAGCGCCUCGUGAAUUCAUCUCCGGGGGUAGAGCACUGUUUCGGCUAGGGGGCCAUCCCGGCUUACCAACCCGAUGCAAACUGCGAAUACCGGAGAAUGUUAUCACGGGAGACACACGGCGGGUGCUAACGUCCGUCGUGAAGAGGGAAACAACCCAGACCGCCAGCUAAGGUCCCAAAGUCAUGGUUAAGUGGGAAACGAUGUGGGAAGGCCCAGACAGCCAGGAUGUUGGCUUAGAAGCAGCCAUCAUUUAAAGAAAGCGUAAUAGCUCACUGGUCGAGUCGGCCUGCGCGGAAGAUGUAACGGGGCUAAACCAUGCACCGAAGCUGCGGC